UCCAUCCGGCCCGUACCGCAAUCCGACACAGGUGUGCUAGGCGAGUAUCCGAAGGCGUUCGGGAGAACCCUCGUGAAGGAACUCGGCAAAAUGACCCCGUACCUUCGGUACAAGGGGUGCUCUCCGCAAGGAGAGCCGCAGAGAAUCGGCUCUAGCGACUGUUUAUCAAAAACACAGGACUCUGCCAACUCGCAAGAGGACGUAUAGAGUCUGACGCCUGCUCGGUGUCGGUAGGUUAAGGGAGCCGAUGAGGCGAGAGCCGAAGUUGGCGACCGAAGCCCCGAUAAACGGCGGCCGUAACUAUGACGGUCCUAAGGUAGCGAAGUUCCUUGUCGGGUAAGUUCCGACCUGCAUGAAUGGCGUAACGACUGGAGCACUGUCUCCACGAGGGACCCGGUGAAACUGUAGCCGUGGUGAAGAUGCCACGUACCCGCGGUCAGACGGAAAGACCCCGUGAACCUUUACUGCAGGUUGGCAUUGGGUCAGCGUCCUUUCUGUGUAGCAUAGGUGGGAGGCCGUGAUCCGGCGGCGCCAGCCGUCGGGGAGCCAUCGGUGAAAUACCACCCUGAAAUGACUCUGAUCCUCACCGGUCCGUAGCCCGGACCGGGACCAUGCUCAUCGGGCAGUUUGACUGGGGCGGUCUCCUCCCAAAGCGUAACGGAGGAGUGCAAUGGUACCCUCGGCCAGGUCGGCAAUCUGGCAACACGAGCGCAAACGUAGAAGGGUGCCUGACUGCGAGACCCAUCAGUCGAGCAGGGACGAAAGUCGGCGUUAGUGAUCCGGCGGUGCUGGAUGGAAAGGCCGUCGCUCAACAGAUAAAAGGUACUCCGGGGAUAACAGGCUGAUCUCCCCCGAGCGUCCAUAGCGGCGGGGAGGUUUGGCACCUCGAUGUCGGCUCAUCGCAUCCUGGGGCUGGAGAAGGUCCCAAGGGUUUGGCUGUUCGCCAAUGAAAGCGGUACGCGAGCUGGGUUCAGACCGUCGUGAGACAGGUCGGUCCCUAUCUGCCGUGGGCGGAGGAAACUUGCGAAGGGUCUCCCCUAGUACGAGAGGAUUGGGGAGGACCGACCUCUGGUGUAUCGGCUGUUCUGCUAAGGGCACCGCCGAGUAGCUAGGUCGGGAAAGGAUAAGCGCUGAAGGCAUCUAAGCGCGAAGCCCUCUUCAAGACGAGGUUUCCAGCACGCAAGUGCGAAGGCUCCUGGAAGACGACCAGGUCGAUAGGCCGGGAGUGCACGGCGAGUGAUCGCCGCAGCCGACCGGUCCUAACAGCCAAUCGCUUGACCAC
rnacentral:rRNA from 1 species